GACGAACCGUCCAAACGUUAUUCGGAAUCACUGGGCUUAAAGGGUGCGUAGGCGGCGCGGCAAGUUGGGUGUGAAAUACCUCGGCUCAACCGGGGAACUGCGCCCAAAACUGCCGUGCUCGAGGAAGAUAGAGGUGAGCGGAACUUAGGGUGGAGCGGUGAAAUGCGUUGAUAUCCUAAGGAACACCGGUGGCGAAAGCGGCUCACUGGAUCUUUUCUGACGCUGAGGCACGAAAGCUAGGGUAGCGAACGGG
rnacentral:misc_RNA from 1 species